rnacentral:rRNA from 1 species
ACUCCUACGGGAGGCAGCAGUGAGGAAUAUUGGACAAUGGGUGGAAGCCUGAUCCAGCCAUCCCGCGUGCAGGAAGACGGCCCUAUGGGUUGUAAACUGCUUUUAUCUGGGGAUAAACCUACUUACGUGUAAGUAGCUGAAGGUACCAGAAGAAUAAGCACCGGCUAACUCCGUGCCAGCAGCCGCGGUAAUACGGAGGGUGCAAGCGUUAUCCGGAUUUAUUGGGUUUAAAGGGUCCGUAGGCGGACUGAUAAGUCAGUGGUGAAAUCCGACAGCUUAACUGUCGAACUGCCAUUGAUACUGUUAGUCUUGAGUAAGGUUGAAGUGGCUGGAAUAAGUAGUGUAGCGGUGAAAUGCAUAGAUAUUACUUAGAACACCAAUUGCGAAGGCAGGUCACUAAGUCUUAACUGACGCUGAUGGACGAAAGCGUGGGGAGCGAACAGGAUUAGAAACCCGAGUAGUCCCAU